UGAGCAGGGGGAGUGAGAGAGAGGUUUGGUGGAGCUGAGCUACUACCAGUGUGAAACCACCACAAAUAACAGAUGCUGUGUCCAUCACUUUGUUACCUUGCUGUUAAUGGAUGAAAAAAUUAAUUAGAAGUGAACCUGUUAUGAGGGAAACCCAGUCACCCAGGAAUACUGGAAGAGAUCAUGGGCUGGCCAGAAGGCAGAGAUUUUGGAGUAUCUUCUGUGGAGGAAACUAUCAUAAGUAAAAAGCUGCUGUGUGGAGUCAAACAGCUAUGAGUCAUGGAAGCCACGAGUCAGUUUACAGAGGUGAAAGCCAUCCAAUUAGCCCUAAAACAUCCCAAAAGAGAAAAGUGGCCAGUACUCUACCUCUAUACUGAUUCACAGAUGGUGAAAAAUGCCCUUUGGGUAUGGCUACAGCAAUGGAAGCAGAGCAACUGGCGGUGCAAAGGUAAACCCAUCUGUGGCAAUACAUGGCUGCCCAAGCGGAAAACACUAAUGUAAAAUGUCAAUAGGAUGAAGCCUGGCAAAUUGAUAAUAUUCGACCAUUCCCACAAACCUGCCAAGGCAAGUUCAACAUACUCUCGAUGGUAGAAGCUACUACUGAGUGGCUGGAUACAUGCCUAGUGAGCCACUGCCUGAAACACCAUCUGGUGAUGGGUGAUGAGGAAGAAUGGGUACGUCAGGUGUGUGCUUCAGGAUUUUACCCUUGGAGAAACUAAUCUGUAAUAUGAGCUAUAUAUUGUAGAAGUAGCAACAGGCCAACUCCUGAAAAAGAACACGGCAAGUGCAGCAAUGACCCAUGAUAAAGGUGGUGUUGACAUCUAGAAAUAGUGCAUGCUGCUUGUCCAGUGUGACUGCCUUGGCACAUGAGGCCUAAGUCAUCUGCGGUUCUUGUGAACAUUUUGAGAGAGACCCACUGAAUAAGAAAAAAAAAUAAUAUCUAUAUAUCUGUUAAGGGACAAUGAAUAGUGGUGAUGAGAAUGUAUACACCUGUUUGUGUUACAUGCAACAGUAAUCUGAAUACACAAAUAUACUAAAGUAGGUGGAACCUAAGUAUGACCCAAAUGGUAUGGAGUAAGGGGUGGAGGUUAUACUGGGUCUGGCUGGGAUGGAGUUAACUUUCCCCACAGCAUCUCAUACAAUGCUGUGCUCUGCACUUGUAGCUAGAAGACCACUGAUAUUGCACCAAUGUUUCCUCUGUGUUCUAGCACAGCAUCCAGUCUCUCUGAACAUCCCAAAGCUAGUAGGCUGGGGAU